rnacentral:misc_RNA from 1 species
UAAUAUAGGUGUAUUUUCCGUACUUACUGAUCAGUAAAAAAAGAUAUGCUGGAUUAUAUUUCACAAAACCAGAAAUUCAUGAUAAAAUGGAUUGCAAAGGCAUUGAAACAGUCAGAAGGGAUAACUGUCCUUUAGUUGCUAAUCUUAUCAAUACCUGUUUAGAAAAACUUCUUAUUGACAGAGAUCCUAAAGCAGCUACUGAAUAUGCAAAACAGACCAUAUCUGAUUUGUUAUGCAAUCGAAUCGAUAUAUCACAGUUAGUGAUUACAAAAGAAUUAACUAAAACUGAUAAGGAAUAUGCUGCAAAACAAGCUCAUGUAGAAUUAGCCCACAGGAUGAAGAAGAGAGAUCCAGGAAGUGCUCCUAAUCUUGGGGACAGAGUGCCUUAUGUUAUUAUAGCUGCUAGUAAAAAAACUGCAGCAUAUUUAAAAUCUGAAGAUCCUAUCUAUGUGCUAGAAAAUAGUAUUCCUAUAGAUACACAGUAUUAUUUAGAAAACCAAAUAUCAAAACCAUUGCUUAGGAUUUUUGAACCUAUUCUUGGAGAAAAAGCAGAGUCCAUUUUGCUGUGUGGCGAUCACACACGAACGAAAACUGUUGUAACAUCGAAAGUUGGUGCUCUAUCUGCUUUUACAAAAAAGAGAAGUACCUGUAUUGGAUGCCGUUCUCUUUUAGACAAAGAUGAUGCUGCUGUGUGCAAUCACUGUAAAUGUCGUGAGGGUGAGAUAUAUCAAACUGAACAAUCAUACUGGCUCAAAUACAAGGUAACCUCACAUAUCAGAGUAUCUUAUACCUUUGUGGAUAUUUCACAUGAACGAAAAAUGGCUUAUUAGAACCUUCAAGUAUGUUAACUGAGUCACAACCCUUGGAACUCUACACGAAGCUAAGACACUAACGGCGUCAGACAGAGCCCAGCUAACGUUCAGAACUUGCCAGCCGUGCCUACAUCAGGCCUUUCAGGUUUGUUCUGAUCAGCAGGUCUGUCUCUAGAUAUCAUAUCUGAACUCAUUUGAAGAAAAGUUUGCUCGUCUAUGGACAGAAUGUCAAAGAUGUCAAGGCAGUUUGCAUGAAGAAGUUCUCUGUACCAG